rnacentral:lncRNA from 1 species
AUGCUGCAUAUGGAAGGCAGCUGUCAAUUAGCAGCUGAAAAAAUAGCCUGCAGUGCUAAUGAGAGCAAAUCUAAUAGAGACCUCUUCCAAAUUGUUUCCAUCCAUUUUUCAGGGCCUUUCAUUGCUGUCAUAUUAGAAGGAUGCCAGAAGGAAAACACGAGGGAAAAGCCCCAUUCAGAGGUAUUUUCAGAGGUGAUAGAGAAGACUGUGAGAAGAGUCACCGGUGGCUUAAGCCCUUGGCAAAAAAUAUGGUGUGUUGGAGAGAUGCCUGCAAGGGGAGCGGGACUCACGGUGAGAUGGCUGUGCUGUGAUCUCAGGCACGCGGUGUCCAUCCCUCCACCCAUCCUCCAGGCUCACACCUCCUCAGGUGUUAAAGACAUCAGCUGGCCACCCUCCUGCUGGUGUUUUUCCAUCUGUCUGUGCUCGACAGCUCAUAUUUUUCAAGGAUGGGUAUGCGGAGCAAUAGGGCAGUGCCUGAGGAUGGAGCGCAUUGAGAGCUGAGUGACCCACAGCUCAGGGAGCACGCAGCGCUGAGAUUCUGGGGUGCUUGCCUCUCAGUGGGAUGCACUGGGACCACUGCAGGGCCCCUGCUGCACCCCUGCGUCUGCAUGGUGCUUGGUCAGGAGUCAGACAUGGGCUUGGAGGUGACAGCUGCAGCUGGGAGAAGUAACAGAGUGAGCCCUCCAGGUUUAUGUCAGUGAAGCAGAACAACAAAGUGAUUGCUUCCAAGAAACCUCUCUUCAACCUGCAAUUUGAAAUAUUUUCCGUUCCUUUGUUGUUCAACAGCAUACCAGCAUUCUCCAAGGGGAAUGGUUUUGUUUCUGUGAUCUGUGUGUAUCAAUAGCAUUGCUGCUGCUGCUGCUGGGGGUUUUGGUCAAAAAGCAAUGAAAGCCCCAACUAUGCCAAAGAUGAAGGUCUGGUCUCACUUGCUCCAUGGGUUUGAACUGGCACAACAAGCUGCUGGCUUGCUGGCUCUUUUAUAAACAGCUUUAUUAACGAAGGAGCGGGGAAAAUGAUAAAUGACACCUGGAGUUAGCCAGGGUAGAUUACUCACAGGCACUGUGUGUAGCUGAUCUCGAAAAUAAAUUCCAGCUAAAUUCUUUUAAAACUUUAAGG